rnacentral:rRNA from 1 species
UACAGAGGGGGCAAGCGUUGUUCGGAAUUACUGGGCGUAAAGGGCGCGUAGGCGGCCUUCUAAGUCGGAUGUGAAAUCCCCGGGCUCAACCCGGGAACUGCGUCCGAUACUGGAAGGCUUGAAUCCGGGAGAGGGAUGCGGAAUUCCAGGUGUAGCGGUGAAAUGCGUAGAUAUCUGGAGGAACACCGGUGGCGAAGGCGGCAUCCUGGACCGGCAUUGACGCUGAGGCGCGAAAGCCAGGGGAGCAAACGGG